UACGUAGGGGGCGAGCGUUGUUCGGAUUUACUGGGCGUAAAGGGCGCGUAGGCGGUCAGCACAAGUCAGUUGUGAAAUCUCCGGGCUUAACUCGGAAAGGUCAACUGAUACUGUGCGACUAGAGUGCGGAAGGGGCAACUGGAAUUCUCGGUGUAGCGGUGAAAUGCGUAGAUAUCGAGAGGAACACCUGCGGCGAAGGCGGGUUGCUGGGCCGACACUGACGCUGAUGCGCGAAAGCCAGGGGAGCGAACGGG
rnacentral:rRNA from 1 species